rnacentral:rRNA from 1 species
AUUGAACGCUGGCGGCAUGCCUUACACAUGCAAGUCGAACGGCAGCACGGGUGCUUGCACCUGGUGGCGAGUGGCGAACGGGUGAGUAAUACAUCGGAACAUGUCCUGUAGUGGGGGAUAGCCCGGCGAAAGCCGGAUUAAUACCGCAUACGAUCUACGGAUGAGAGCGGGGGACCUUCGGGCCUCGCGCUCAUGGGUUGGCCGAUGGCUGAUUAGCUAGUUGGUGGGGUAAAGGCCUACCAAGGCGACGAUCAGUAGCUGGUCUGAGAGGACGACCAGCCACACUGGGACUGAGACACGGCCCAGACUCCUACGGGAGGCAGCAGUGGGGAAUUUUGGACAAUGGGCGAAAGCCUGAUCCAGCAAUGCCGCGUGUGUGAAGAAGGCCUUCGGGUUGUAAAGCACUUUUGUCCGGAAAGAAAUCCUUGGCCCUAAUACGGUCGGGGGAUGACGGUACCGGAAGAAUAAGCACCGGCUAACUACGUG